AACCGUUCAGGGGUAAACCUGAGAAACCCAAAAGAUCGAAUGGGGAGAUUCAUCGUCAGCGGGGUUGGCUUCCGUGUGGAUCGCGAUGGCCGGGACCUCGGUUCCGCGUCACGCGUCCGCUGCGGUAUGUCCGACUUCGUCGGCGUGCACUUCUCCCCUAGUAGGACGUCGCGACCCGUUGGGUGCCGGCCUACGGCCCGGUUGGUAGACUGUCGCGUCGCGUUUACGCGUGUACACGGCAGACCACCGGCUGCCCGGCCGGCUGCCCGGCGGUAUAGAUCGCUAUAAAACGGUAUUGGGCCGCAUUAAGUGCGUUCUGGCUCGUCGGCAGGCUCGUCUCGCUCGGAUUUACGGACCUAGUGCCGUUGCCGGGCGCUUGGCGUGGCCGUUAGUCGACGAUGUCCUCGGACUGGCUCUUACAUUCGAACGGAUUUACCGGUCGGCGACGCUACUGCUUUGGGUACUUUCAGGACCCGUCUUGAAACACGGACCAAGGAGUCUAACAUGUGCGCGAGUCAUUGGGACUUGUUAAGCCUAAAGGCGCAAUGAAAGUGAAGGUCGGCCCUAGCGUCGACCGAGGGAGGAUGGCUCGCGUCACGAUGCGAGCCCGCACUCCCGGGGCGUCUCGCGCUCAU
rnacentral:rRNA from 1 species